GUGAGGCUUCCUAUUGGUCAGUGGGCGGGGCCAUAGCCAGCGGAGCGGGGGGCUCAGAGGCACGCGCGGAGCGGGAGAGAGCGGCAUGGAGCUGCGCGGGGGGGCGGCGCCGGGCGCGAGGACCGAUCCAGAGAAGAGGAAAAAGAAGCGCAAAAAGGACAAGAAGCAGAAACCGGUGCCACGGACCCCAACCCCCUCUGAGGAAGCAUCACUGGAGCCCCCCC